rnacentral:lncRNA from 1 species
AUAAUCACCUUCAUGAAAUCCAUAAUUUCAAUAUUAUCAAAACUAUAAAUCUAUGGAACAAUCUUUCUUGUCUAAUCCGAAAUCUGAGAAAAAUGCUAAUAUAUAUAAUAUAGCAUUGCCACUAUUAGGUAUUUUACUGUCUAUUAGUUUUUCUCUGAUUUAGGCUUAGACCAGUAAAGUUGUUAAAUUGUUAAAUUUAUGUAUUUUAAAUUUAUUUACGUAGUUUAGUUAAGACAAUGUAAAAUUUAAUUAGUGUAAAUUUGUUUAGACUUUCAAUAUUAUGUGUUGCUUCUCUUAAAUGAGAUAAAAACCCAAGGAUGCAAAAAACUUAAUAUAAAAUAGUGUGAAAAAGAAGUAGUAACUGAAAUUAACAGCAUAAUAAAAUUUGAUAAGUUUGACUCAGCACUUGACAAUGUUUCAUCUAGUAACUCUGUAGUAUCUCUGCAGUUGUAAAUUGCUAAAUACUGAUUUGACAGAUUUUUCUUUUUUUUUUUAAUUUUCUUUACAAUAUAUAAUUUUUACUACUUAAUUAGGAAUUGUCAGAUUUCCAUUAUUUCUUUCUAUUAGAAACCAAGAGUUCAAAAUACUAGUGGUAAGAACUGUCAAAAACUUGUGAUAGCUAUGAUGAAGAGAUUUGUGACAAAUUUGCUCAUGGCCAAAUCUAAUAUGGCAGCUGGAAAAGGCAAAGGAUCUUUUUAGCCUAACUAAGCUAUACAGUUUAAUAAAAGUUUGUGCAUCGACUUCUCACGAAUCAUACACAGAGUCGAUUGACGAUGCAAUAAUUGCUGAUUCGUGAAAACGGGCAGCUUUUGCUUGUCUUAAAGUGCCUUAAAUCCAUCGUUAUAAUAUUACUUUGUUUGUAAAUUGUUUUGAAAAAUAAAUUUAAAAAUAACUAUUAAA